CAAUCCAAACGGAUUGAACUGAGCCGAGCAUUUCUCCGAGUUCGAACUCACAGAAAUUCCAUUCCUUCUGUACACUCUUCCUUUUGCCAUCCCUAUUCGGAAUAGCACUACGCGUGUUCACUCCGUCCCUCUGUGACUGUAAAAUCGCCACACCAGAGGAAGCGCCAAGAAAGAAGGAAGAAGGAGAAAAGUUUCCCUUCUUCCAUGGCGUGUGUAAUCUCCUUCACUAUUCCAAUGCACCUUCCUGCUUCCCAAACCCUAGACAAGGAAAUGCGUCCAAGAUCGGCUCUUGGAAGGCUAUCAAGACAAGCAACCAGCAGAACAGAUCGUAUUUGUGUUUUGCUACAUGAAUGAGGCAAGGAUGCAGAUAAUAAGUUUGAGCUCAUCAACUAACUAAAUCCUCAUGGAUUUGGAAACAAGUUAAAACAAUUUAGAUGUGAAAAGAUUGAAGCAAUAAAGGACCCCAUUUGGAGAGCUCGUGAAUGUGAUCAUUGCGAUUUUUCUUGCUUCACUGGAUUUUUUGGGAUGGCCCAUUGAUGGUCGAAUUUUUUCGGCAAGACUGCAAUUAAACACAAUAAUGACGAAUGUUAAUCAUUUAUCUCCUUUAAAUUUUACUAGUGACAUUGCUUUGAAUUACCACUUAAAUCCAUUUUUUUUCAUGUCGUGUAAGAAAUGGCAUAGAUAUUUUGUAUGUUAUGAUAAGUGCAGUUGAUAGGCUUCAACAAUGAUGCCCAUUCUUACCAAACCGAAUAAUUGUAUAAUAUUUGCAGCAAUCGCGCUUGUUGCUCCGAAAUGCAUGUCUUUGGUAGAUAGGAGCUGUAAUUGCCAUAAAAUGAAUAUCAGCAGACAUGUUUGUGGAUCUGGUUCUCAUCCUUUUAAUGUAAGUUCUAGUUCUCCUGCUGUAAUCUCAGGUUUUUGGGUGGGACCAGAUAUCGAAGAUGGAUGGGGUUUUGUAGAGGCUUUUAUAAACCAAAUAUUUUGAUUCUUGGUCGUGUCUGAAUUGCUUUCGCUUGGCUUCCUCCCAUUGAGGGUUAACCUUAGUAGAUCAGUAUUACACA